CGGUAUCUUUUGGAUGGCAGCUCCCAAAAAUAGACGCACCAUUGAAGUUAACCGGUGUAGGAGAAGAAAUCCGCAGAAGCUUAUUAAAGUUAAGGUUGACAUAUCUGGCUGCCCAAGAAGGGACCCAAAGUGAAUCUUGCCUUGACUGCUGCUGCUUUGUCAAUCAAUACCUGGUACCAGCAGGACUGUUUUUAUCCAAUUGACUUUUGCCAAAGUUUUCAGGAGCCCUUGGCAAGGCCCCUCCUGGGUUCCAAACAUUAUCUCUAAUACAUCCCACCUUAUUGCAAGGUCCCACUCCUCAGAGUAAACACUUGGUCCAAAUGGUGGGUGUUAUAAAUACUCCUGUAUCAGUGCGUAAGUCUCAACCUGUAACUUUUCAACUAAGUCCCUUACAAGGGACACAUGUUUUACUUUGGUUUCCUUAGUUUCCAUCCAUCUAAUAAGAAAACUUCUUAGAACUAUAUAAUACCCAUAUUUCUUUCUCCUA
rnacentral:sRNA from 1 species